AUUGAACGCUGGCGGCAGGCCUAACACAUGCAAGUCGAGCGGAUGAAGGGAGCUUGCUCCUGGAUUCAGCGGCGGACGGGUGAGUAAUGCCUAGGAAUCUGCCUGGUAGUGGGGGAUAACGUCCGGAAACGGGCGCUAAUACCGCAUACGUCCUGAGGGAGAAAGUGGGGGAUCUUCGGACCUCACGCUAUCAGAUGAGCCUAGGUCGGAUUAGCUAGUUGGUGGGGUAAAGGCCUACCAAGGCGACGAUCCGUAACUGGUCUGAGAGGAUGAUCAGUCACACUGGAACUGAGACACGGUCCAGACUCCUACGGGAGGCAGCAGUGGGGAAUAUUGGACAAUGGGCGAAAGCCUGAUCCAGCCAUGCCGCGUGUGUGUAGAAGGUCUUCGGAUUGUAAAGCACUUUAAGUUGGGAGGAAGGGCAGUAAGUUAAUACCUUGCUGUUUUGACGUUACCAACAGAAUAAGCACCGGCUAACUUCGUG
rnacentral:rRNA from 1 species